rnacentral:rRNA from 1 species
CGUAGGGUGCAAGCGUUAAUCGGAAUUACUGGGCGUAAAGCGUGCGCAGGCGGUUUUGUAAGUCUGAUGUGAAAUCCCCGGGCUCAACCUGGGAAUUGCCUUGGAGACUGCAAGGCUAGAAUCUGGCAGAGGGGGGUAGAAUUCCACGUGUAGCAGUGAAAUGCGUAGAUAUGUGGAGGAACACCGAUGGCGAAGGCAGCCCCCUGGGUCAAGAUUGUCGCUCAUGCACGAAAGCGUGGGGAGCAAACAGGAUUAGAUACCCUGGUAGUCCACGCCCUAAACGAUGUCUACUAGUUGUCGGGUCUUAAUUGACUUGGUAACGCAGCUAACGCGUGAAGUAGACCGCCUGGGGAGUACGGUCGCAAGAUUAAAACUCAAAGGAAUGGACGGGGACCCGCACAAGCGGUGGAUGAUGUGGAUUAAUUCGAUGCAACGCGAAAAACCUUACCUACCCUUGACAUGGCUGGAAUCCCCGAGAGAUCGGGGAGUGCUCGAAAGAGAACCAGUACACAGGUGCUGCA